AUAUAAGAUAAAAAGGUUUAAUAUUAUUAGUAAGAAGUUUAGAAAUUAUUUGAUUAUUUUGUACUGAGAAGGAGGCAAUAAAAGUUUAUAUAUAGUAAAAAUUAAUUUUUGUAUCUUUUGUAUAAUGGUUUAAUAAUAUUUAAGUAUUUAUUUAUGUUUCUCGAAUUAAAAAGAUUUAUUUAUUAUAUACAUUAGUAUUAAAAUUAAUAUUAGGGGUAUAUUAGUUAACGUGGUAUAGUUAUUAUAUUAAUAGUAAAUGGUAGUGAUAUGCUAUUCGAUUUUUAGGAUAGCUAGUUUAUUAGUUAUUUCAUUUUAGUGUCAAUUUAAAUAUAUUAUGGUAGUAAUUAAUUUAAAUUUAAAUAUUGGGGGAUAAGCUUCUUGUAAUGAGUAAGAUUUAAAACAUAUACUGUGUUUAAGUUGAGUUAAUAAUUUUUCUUAUUGUUAAUACAUAUAUAUGUAAUAGUGUUUAUGUCUUAAUUGUUUUAAUAUAGUAAGUAGUUUAUAAUUUUUUUUAAAAAUUAGUUAUAAUGUUUAAAUGAGUAUUUAUUAAUGUAGUGUAUUUAAUUUAUAUUAAUAGCUAGGGUUUAAGUUGUUAUUAGUUAUAUAUAUAGUUAAUUAAAAUAAAGGAAUUCGGCAAAUAUUAAUUUCGCCUGUUUAUCAAAAACAUGUCUCUUUGAUUUUUAAUAAUAAAGAGUUGGGCCUGCUCGGUGAGUAAUUUUAACAGCUGCGGUAUUAUAACUGUACUAAGGUAGCAUAAUAAUUUGCCUUAUAAAUUGAGGCUAGAAUGAAUGGUUUGACGAAAAUUAUACUGUCUCUAUUUUAAUUGAUAGAAGUUAAUUUUUAAAGUGAAAAAGCUUAAAUAGUUUAAAGGGACGAGAAGACCCUAUUGAGCUUUUAUUGAAUUUAUAAUUUUAUAUAAGUGUAUUAAUAAUAUAUUUAAUAUUAGUUAUAAUAGUUUAAUUUUGGUUGGGGUGAUCAAGGAAUAAUGAUGUAGUAACUUCCUUAAUUGUUUAAUUUAGUUAAAUAAUAAACCAAUGUUAUUGCUUAUAGAUAAGUUACCAUAGGGAUAACAGCGUAAUUUUCUUUGAGAGUUCAUAUUGAAAAGAGAGAUUGCGACCUCGAUGUUGGAUUAAAAUAACCAUUAAGUGAAGAGGCUUUAUUAGGUAAAUCUGUUCGAUUUUUAAAAUUUUACAUGAUCUGAGUUCAAACCGGUGUAAGCCAGGUUGGUUUUUAUCUUUUAAAGUUUAUGAUUAUUUAAUUUAGUACGAAAGGAUUGGUUAAGAUUAAUUAUGUAAAUUAAUUUAUUAAAUUAAUAAAGUUGGCAGAAAAUAUGUGAA
rnacentral:rRNA from 1 species